rnacentral:rRNA from 1 species
AUUGAACGCUGGCGGCAGGCUUAACACCUGCAAGUCGAGCGAGCGGCGGACGGGUGAGUAAUGUCUGGGAAACUGCCUGAUGGAGGGGGAUAACUACUGGAAACGGUAGCUAAUACCGCAUACCAUCAGAUGUGCCCAGAUGGGAUUAGCUAGUAGGUGGGGUAAUGGCUAACCUAGGCGACGAUCCCUAGCUGGUCUGUGAGGAUGACCAGCAACACUGGAACUGAGAAACGGUCCAGACUCCUGCGGUAGGCAGCUGUGGAGAAUUUUGCACAAUGGGCGCAAGCCUGAUGCAGCCAUGCCGGGUGUGUUAAGAAGGCCUUCGGGUUGUAAAGCACUUUCAGCGAGGAGGCGUUACUCGCAGAAGAAGCACCGGCUAACUCCGUGCCAGCAGCCGCGGUAAUUC